GGCGGUCCUCUUCCCAACCUCUUCCCAAAGCGGUUAUCCAAGCAACUGCCAAAGCCAAACAGGGAGGAAAUAGAGUGUGGAGGAUGUAGGUCAGGAAACCGCUCAACUGGCCGAGGCAGGAAAAUGUAGUCAUCUAGUUUCACCGAAAUUUUCCACUGCAUUGGCUGUCCUGAAAUUUUGGGCAUAAGCCUGUUUUUCUGCUCGUGGGCAAGGAAAGAAGAGACUUGCAACCAACCAGCCCAGAUGUCAGAGCCCGCGUGUAUGGAAAAGGGUAAAGCACGCUUGCUCUCUCCACGUAACUCAGCGCCAUGCAGAGCGGCUGUCUCUAAUCCUGGAAAUGGUGUUGAACCCAUUAUUGAGUUUUACAUGGUGCUGCCUUAAGUCUCAUAUUGGAAGAGAGAUUGAAAAUCAGUCCCUAUGUACUCACUCCAUGCUACUCAGGAUUAAAAAGUAAGAAAAAUUCUAUUUCACGUUGAUGCAAAAUAAACACAAAAUACAAAUUUUUAGUCAACUAAAAUCUUUCAGAGCCAACUUUCCUGGUUUUUUUUAUUUCAUUUCUUUGGGUUUUGACUGAGGUCUUAAGACAUUUUAAAGUAAAAUGGAAAGGAACUUCUGGAAAGGAACUUUUGGAAAGAAACAGUCACUUGGAAUUGAAUGACCAAAGUACUUUUUUAAAAAAACAAAAGAAAACACCAAAACAAACAAACAAACAAAACCCAAAAAACACCAAACCCAACAUACCAACCUGAGAUGUCUUGAUCAUUACCAUCCUUUCUCUUGUUCUCUCCCUAGCCCCUCGCUGGCAUGAAAAAAAAAAUGAAGGUAAAUGGAAAGGUUCUUUUUCCAAAAAAUACUGUAAUAUUUACCAGAUCACUGUUUUCCCCCAAAAGCAUUCUUUCAUAGGAAACAAAAAUGCUCUACUUGGUGCUAAUCCAGGAGCAUGUGACACCCAUCUGAAGCUGCAGGUGAGCACAAGGAAGAAUACAGAUCUUUUGCUAUCAGCAAAAAACAGCUUUAGAGUUAGCUCUGCACUGGAAUUGCUGAAAUCCUCUUCGAGUGAAGGCAGUGGCAGCACAGUCCUUUAGGAGAAAAACAAGCAAACUGAAAACAAUCUGUGGGGCAUUUAUUAAAUCACAUAGCCGGAAUUCAUACAGGCAGCACUUAAAUCAGUAAAUUCUGCUUGCAGGGAAUACAUUUGGGAACAAAAGUACCUACAAUUUCUUAGCAUCAUUUUACAUUGCUUUAAUUUUCAAGUUAGAUUUGGAAUAGCUUAAUACUUUUUCUGAAAUGUGGUAGUGCACAGAAUCUAACAACUAGAGAAUGGCAAGAAACCUAGAAAUGGAGGUAAGAAGCAUAUACAAGUGACUGCUGAACCCUUACUCCUGUCCAUGGCUUACCUGAACCCCAGGCACCUAAUGCUGCUAUGAUAUAUGCAUAUUUGCUCUUAAUGGCAGUGGAACUGGAAAGUGCUAAAGGUGCUCCCGUGCUUUGUUUUUUUUUUUUAUGACAAGUGAGGCGAAAUUUAUUUUGAUCCAUCAUUUAGCAGUACUGGAUGGUUAUGCUGAAAUCUGAUCUGGUUGGCCUGUCCCUGCAGUAGCAGACGGGCCAGUCUAGAUAAUCACAUUCCUGUUUCAUGUUUUCUGCUGGUAUUCCCCCUCUUAGGAUCCACAGAGUCCACUGUGGUUCAGCGGGUUAGUUGUCCUCCACCUCAAACCCAUGGUGACUUAAGUGCAGGCCCAGAUGUUUCUGCACACAGAAGGCCCAACCCAGUCACCUCUUGACUUCACUUUCUAGUGUCUGUUGCCAUUGGUUUGACAGAGUGCUGCUCUUUUAUGACCUGACACUGAAAACAUGACCUUAAGAAGUCCCACUAGUGUGCUAAGUCGCCUCCACAGAUGUUAAUGAAAUGCUGUGAUGAAACUCAGAGCUUCUGUAGACUGCUCCUCCUUUUGCAGUAAGGUUUCCCCACUCCUUUUUCCACAACCCAAAUCAUCCAACAGUUCAAAGACCUCCCUAUCGGCCAUAUUUACUCCCAGAAAAUGCAUUCUUUCCCUUCAUGUCUCUAGGAGGCUAAGACAAUUCUCUGGAGUUUUAAAGAAAGGUGCCUACAGGCUAGUGGGCUGCAGUGGUCCCAGCACAGCACGAAAGGGAAGCGAAACAUUUGUCCCACAGAUUUGGUGAAGAUGCCAGUGCCAAGAAGUUGUGUGAAUCCAUGCUAGAAUCAUUGAAUCCUCUGCAGUAGCCUGCAAAACAGCUUAGAAAUCAUUUCCUAUGUUCAAUAUUUAGCCUGUAGCAAUUGUUUGGGGAGGAACGAUUCAUUUCAGAAACGUUAUCAUCAACAUAAAGUUAGGCCUCGUUGACUAGAGAAGGCUUUCUCCAACCUCCAUGUGUAGCCAGCUCACAGAAAUUUGGUCUGGUCAUCUGGACAGGGAAAUUACCUUUGAAGCCCAUUUAAACCAAGGGAAGUGGCUGUGGUUCAGGCAGGUAAAUCAGGGCAAAUGUUCCUUGAGGGAACCCCAUUCUGGACUGAGAAGCCUAACUCAAGGCAGCUGUAUCUGGGAAUAUUUGCAAUGUUGAUCUGUUUGAUGAAGAGGCAAACUCACUUCUUGUACUUCAGGGAUUUUCAGAUGUUUGUUCUGCAUUUCUCUAAGUUGCCUGAAUCCUCUGAGGGCUAAGGUCACUUCAUCUGGCUCAGCAGGAUAGGGGACAGGGUUUCAUGACCUCUCAUGCCCCUGGUGGCAUCUGUCCUCUUUCUUUAUAAUCGUUUUUGCUUUCUUUCCCCAUUUCUAUGGCAACUUUUUGACAAUAUCCCCUCUAUUAUGCAGUUCAGCAUAACUUGGAAAAAAAAACCCUGUUAAAUUUUCAACAGGGUCAGAUGUCAGGCUUUUUAGAAUGAGAAUGAAGAUUUGGCUUGCAAAACUCAUCUUGGCAAAAAAAGGGGGGAAAUUCCUUUGUGAGGAAGCUUUUUCAAAAAGUGUACAUUAUAGCCUGUGAUUGUGGGUGAUACCUCUCUGCAUUGUAGCCCCAGCAUGAAGUAAAGGCAGAGGGACAAUAGCAGGAGGGAAUCAGCCAUCUUUCCGGAUUACCUGCAACUUUUUAGGCAAUUGCAUGCACUUCUCUCAUUGUGCAUGGGUUUCUCUGCAGGUACAAGAUAGUCCAGCCUGGGGCAGGUUAGAGUGAGGCUUUGCUUCUUGUCUCGCUUUAAUGAGAAGAAUCCAGUGCUGCCCAACUGCCCUCACCCUUGCUUACUAACAGCACCUCAAUCCUGCCCAGAAAAAUACAAUGGAAAAACUCAAUAUCCACAUGGCACAUGUUAUGCUCAUCUGCUCCUCAGCAAUUACCAUGAUACCCACGGUGGGCCACCCAGUCAGUCACUGCAAAGGCAUAAAUGACAACACUUUAGCAAAGGUCUUGUAAAAGUUGCUGGCAUGGUGGUUGGUGGUUCUUCACCACCUUAAGAGAAGCUGCAGGUGCCAGACAGUCUUUAAGAGUUGGACUUCUCAGUAUAGGACUAAAAUGUUAAUGGGGGUUUUCCAAAAGUCACCCUGAGUACUUUUGCCUCUCUAGAAAUUACAUGGCUAGAAGAGUCUCUGACCUUGUAUGUGCAGUCAGCAAAGACUGAAAGAAACCCUUCCUGCACACCAAGCCUGAGAAUGAAAUCAAAGGGGGCUCAGAGAUCAGAGCUUAACUGGAGUUAGGGGAGGAGCAAAUAUUGGCUGUUGUAAAACAUUCAGAUACGUAAGAUGUGGACCAUCAGUUUCAGAAGAUGUCAUGCUUAUCACUGAUACACUUAAUUUAUUUUUGUCUUCUGCCCUUGGAAAUGACAAUGUCCUAAAUGAAUGUGGUGGAGAGGAUGGGCAGGCCAACGAAGACACCUUAAAACAAACAGCUUUCCUCAGAAGAAUGGAGGAACAAACAUACACACUGUUUACACACUGUUCAUCAGCCUUAUAGUAUUGAGAGUACAGGCUGCCACCAUUACCGAGUCCCUGAGACAGUUCGCUCCACAGACGCGGGCACGGAACAGCCUCGUUUUCAGUCCUUAAAAUACCGAGUUCAUCACUCAAGAAACAAGGAAAGGUUUUAACCCAUGACUUAUUAUCAUGUGCCAUAGUGUCAACUUCAGGAAACAGGAAAUGCAACAGUUAAGCCUCUGUUAUAGACAGGGAUGGAGGAGCCAGUUCAGUCCUGCGUUCAUCUGCAGCAAGCGAGGGCGACCGGGCCAGUGGUGCUGCUCCCACCAAUUGCCAAGCAGGAGCCACAUGUCUGCUGGGACACAUCAUUUGUGCCCUUGAAAGAAGACGGGGAGAGACCUGCCCGGGGUUUACUGAAUCCCUGAGGAAGAAGCCGGGCUGCCUGCGCAGAGGACGAUGCCGUUGCCCGCCCUGCUCCUGGCUGGGGACAGCCCUGCCCAUCCUUCAGCUAAUUACAGCUUCUGCUCAUUAUGGCAGUGUGGGCUUUGACAAGGUCAUAAAUCAAUCACUGUCAUAAGAGUAUGAACUGUCAUAGUUGUACAUUGUCUAAAUAUGGACUAAUGAGUUAAUGACUAUUCCAGCUGUUGU